rnacentral:rRNA from 1 species
GACGAACCGAGCGGACGUUGUUCGGAAUCACUGGGCUUAAAGGGCGCGUAGGCGGGUGCUCAAGUCUGUGGUGAAAUCCUCCAGCUCAACUGGAGAACUGCCUCGGAUACUGGGUGUCUCGAGGGUGGUAGGGGUAUGCGGAACUAUCGGUGGAGCGGUGAAAUGCGUUGAUAUCGAUAGGAACUCCGGUGGCGAAGGCGGCAUACUGGACCACAUCUGACGCUGAGGCGCGAAAGCCAGGGGAGCAAACGGG